AGUUGCGGAGGGCGGGGGCUGAGGCUCGGGCCGCGGCCCGGGUCCCGCCGACUCAAUCCGAGAGGCGCCAGGACUUUUUCGGAGCUCACACCCUGGGCGAGCGACCUCGCUUGUGGAGUGAUGGCUCGGUCGCUGUCUGUGCGUCCCUCCAGCGUUCCGCUCGUGCAUAUCAGGAGGUGACCCCUGUCGCGCGGGGGACCUCCGCAUGGCCCUUCCGGACAGAGAAACCCAGAAGGGGUCACCGACUAGGCCGGGGCCUCCCGUGCCCCGCAAGGUCCAUCAAGCGGCCCCUGCGAGACAACUCGAGGCCAGAGGCGCACGGGCCAGGGUAUGUGCCCAGAGCCCCCUUCCCAGCCUCCUUCCUGGCCAGAGACCCGCAGGAAGCCCCAGGCCGGGCACAGAGAGCAAAAGGCAGGAUUCCCUUGCUUAAUGACCCAGGCGUCUGGCACUCGCAGCUGCCCAGAGGGCAAAUCCUGGCGUUCGAGAUGGAGUAUGUGAAAUAAGUAGCUCCCUCAGCAAGAAAGGUGCCCCUGUCCUCAUUGCCCUUGGCCUUCCUGCCUGGGCAGAGAACCAACCAGGAUGAUGAGCCCAGGGAUGGGAGGCAGGCGCUCACCGCCGACUAUGCAGACAGUCGCCUGCCGCCCCCUGGUGGGUGGGGAAGGCACUGUUACCCCCUGACUGCCCCGCAGUCGUGCGGCCACUGCCCAGCUGCACCCAGAAUCUGGGGCUUAGGCUUGAGAAAGCCAAGUCAAGAGACCCAGGCCUCACCCAGGUGUGGUCCUGAGCCAAUCACAACACUUGCCAGUUUCCUCAUCUGGACAAUGGGCAUCCCCACUCAUCCUGUGUACCUCAAAGGGACCUGGGAAGGUCCAGCAGGCAGGCUGGAUCUAAAUGAAUGAAAGCUUGGCAGAAACUCUCCUCCGGGCCCUUGGUGUGGAUGCAAUGAGCAUGUCCACACUGCACCUACUCAGCAGUUAUUAGGAAGCAUGGACAUGCUUCCAGAAAACCCUACCACCAUCCACAUCCUCUGCCACUCAGCGCUGUCUGCCUGGACUACCAGCAGCACACCUCCAGAGGAUACGGCACCCUAGAGGUGAGCCCAGAGACGACAAGCCAAACGCAACCCUCGAGGUGGCAGCAUCUCAGUGGGGCACAGCCAGUAAUGACCGGUUUCACCAGUGAGAGGCCCUGUACUAAAUGCCUGGAUGGUGGAGUGGGAUGAAACCCAGGGGACAUAAAGCACCCAUACCAGUCCCAGGAUAUGGAUGGUGGAUCACAGACCCCCUCCCUGCCUCCACUAUACCACCCUCUCCCCUUCAGUCUGUCCUCAGCAGCCAGCAAGGACCUGAUCAAACCUUGGGGAGACCCUGUCUGUCACUUUCCUGCCCAGAAAAGAGCCCUUUCCCCUCACCAGAGGGAAGACGCAGUUCCUUCCCAGGCAGGCCCCACAUAGUGCACCCCCUCCCCGAUACUACAGCUCUCCAGACACACCCAGCACACCCCCACCUCAGGGCCUUUGCACUUACUGUCCCUCUGCCUGAGACUCCUGCCCACGUAGGUGCAUGGCUCACCCUUGCUGCUUCCACCGACCCCUCCCACACCUGCCCCCGUCUGCUUCUCUGCACUUUCCCCCACCAUGAGGCCGGUUCACUCAGCCUCAUCCCUCUAGACUGUCAGCUCUGAGGCCCAGGGACCAUCUCUGUCCUGCCCCCAGCCCACAUCCAGCACCGCUAACUGGCUCAGCCCACAGUAGGUAGUCCAGAAAUAGUUGUUGAAUGAAACACCAAAUGAAUAAACCAACAGCUUGGCAAAGUACUGCAA